rnacentral:rRNA from 1 species
GAUGAACGCUGGCGGCGUGCCUAAUACAUGCAAGUAGAACGCUGAAGGAGGAGCUUGCUCUUCUGGAUGAGUUGCGAACGGGUGAGUAACGCGUAGGUAACCUGCCUGGUAGCGGGGGAUAACUAUUGGAAACGAUAGCUAAUACCGCAUGACAACAGUUAUUGCAUGAUAACUGUUUAAAAGGGGCAACUGCUCCACUACCAGAUGGACCUGCGUUGUAUUAGCUAGUUGGUGAGGUAACGGCUCACCAAGGCGACGAUACAUAGCCGACCUGAGAGGGUGAUCGGCCACACUGGGACUGAGACACGGCCCAGACUCCUACGGGAGGCAGCAGUAGGGAAUCUUCGGCAAUGGACGGAAGUCUGACCGAGCAACGCCGCGUGAGUGAAGAAGGUUUUCGGAUCGUAAAGCUCUGUUGUAAGGGAAGAACGAGUGUGAGAGUGGAAAGUUCACACUGUGACGGUAUCUUACCAGAAAGGGACGGCUAACUACGU